rnacentral:rRNA from 1 species
UUGAGUUUGAUCCUGGCUCAGGACGAACGCUGGCGGCGUGCUUAACACAUGCAAGUCGAACGAUGAAGCCCUUCGGGGUGGAUUAGUGGCGAACGGGUGAGUAACACGUGGGCAAUCUGCCCUGCACUCUGGGACAAGCCCUGGAAACGGGGUCUAAUACCGGAUAUGACUGUCCGCCGCAUGGUGGAUGGUGUAAAGCUCCGGCGGUGCAGGAUGAGCCCGCGGCCUAUCAGCUUGUUGGUGAGGUAGUGGCUCACCAAGGCGACGACGGGUAGCCGGCCUGAGAGGGCGACCGGCCACACUGGGACUGAGACACGGCCCAGACUCCUACGGGAGGCAGCAGUGGGGAAUAUUGCACAAUGGGCGAAAGCCUGAUGCAGCGACGCCGCGUGAGGGAUGACGGCCUUCGGGUUGUAAACCUCUUUCAGCAGGGAAGAAGCGAAAGUGACGGUACCUGCAGAAGA